rnacentral:rRNA from 1 species
CAGCAGCCGCGGUAAUACGUAGGGUGCGAGCGUUAAUCGGAAUUACUGGGCGUAAAGCGUGCGCAGGCGGUGAUGUAAGACAGAUGUGAAAUCCCCGGGCUCAACCUGGGAACUGCAUUAGUGACUGCAUCGCUGGAGUGCGGCAGAGGGGGAUGGAAUUCCGCGUGUAGCAGUGAAAUGCGUAGAUAUGCGGAGGAACACCGAUGGCGAAGGCAAUCCCCUGGGCCUGCACUGACGCUCAUGCACGAAAGCGUGGGGAGCAAACAGGAUUAGAUACCCCUGUAGUCCCUGUCUCUUAUAC